rnacentral:rRNA from 1 species
CACGUAGGGCGCAAGCGUUGUCCGGAAUUAUUGGGCGUAAAGAGCUCGUAGGCGGUCUGUUGCGUCCGCUGUGAAAACUCGGGGCUUAACCCCGAGCCUGCAGUGGGUACGGGCAGACUAGAGUGUGGUAGGGGAGACUGGAAUUCCUGGUGUAGCGGUGAAAUGCGCAGAUAUCAGGAGGAACACCGAUGGCGAAGGCAGGUCUCUGGGCCACUACUGACGCUGAGAAGCGAAAGCAUGGGGAGCGAACAGG